GCCUGGGUGGCUCAGUCGGUUAAGCAUCUGACUUCAGCUCAGGUCACGAUUCCAUGGUUCACAGGUUCGAGCCCUGCGUCAGGCU
rnacentral:tRNA from 1 species